AAAUACAUGAAAUAAAUGAUGAUAAUAGGAGAAAAGACCCAUUGGAAAACCUCUACUCAAAGUCUGAUUAACUUUGGAAGCAGUUGGGACUUCAGCUGCUGUUUACCCAUCAAAGUUUGUGCACAUGGAUAAGAUCCUCCUGAAUCUUCUCUUCCCCAGGCUGACCUCUCCCAGCAGUCUUGGUUGUCAGGUGCUGCAAUGCCUUACUCAUCUUCAUGCAAGAUGCACCAGAUUCACUCUGUAAAGCUGGAAGUUACAGGAUGCACCUCAGUGGAAAAGUAACAGUUCUUCCUUCUUCAAUGACUGUGGGAAGGUGGUUUUUCAAAAACACCAAUCAAAUGGAAACUCAAGUUUCUUUUUCCCUGUCUCAGCCUUUGAAAUACCUGCCUAAAUUCAAUGUAUUAUGCCAAGUCACUCAGAGUACAUCUCUAGAGGAAGGGCAAAAAAUUGCU